rnacentral:tmRNA from 1 species
GGGCUUGUAAUGGUUUCGACAGGGACUAUGAAGCUGGAGAAGCGAGCCGCAGGGGAUGCGUUAAAUUCCAAACUUAAAAUUAAACGCUGAAGAUAAUUUAGCAUACGCAGCCUAGUUGCUGCAGUCUGACCUAGAGCACCUACACUUUAGGACCCAGGCUUCGACGAUGUAGGAAACGACACUGUCAAAGCUUUGAGGCAGUGGGCGUAGGAUGAAGCUACUGAAACCGGGAUUGUGCCUGUGCAAGCCCGGCAGAGGGAACAUGCUGUCUUUGGGAUAGCAGAAAACCAUAGGCUACGCUCGUAGAAGGACAGGGGAUUGGUUUUUGGACACGGGUUCGACUCCCGUCAGGUCCACUU